rnacentral:rRNA from 1 species
CCUACGGGAGGCAGCAGUGAGGAAUCUUGCGCAAUGGGGGAAACCCUGACGCAGCGACGCCGCGUGAGUGAUGAAGGCCUUCGGGUCGUAAAGCUCUGUCGGAUGGGAAGAAAGUUCCGGCGGUGAAUAAUUGCUGGAAUUGACGGUACCGUCAAAGGAAGCACCGGCUAACUCCGUGCCAGCAGCCGCGGUAAUACGGAGGGUGCAAGCGUUGUUCGGAAUUAUUGGGCGUAAAGAGCGUGUAGGCGGCCUUGUAAGUCAGAUGUGAAAUACCUUGGCUCAACCAAGGAAGGGCAUUUGAAACUGCUUGGCUUGAGUACGGGAGGGGGAAGCGGAAUUCCCGGUGUAGAGGUGAAAUUCGUAGAUAUCGGGAGGAACACCGGUGGCGAAGGCGGCUUCCUGGACCGAUACCGACGCUGAGACGCGAAAGCGUGGGGAGCAAACAGGAUUAGAUACCCUGGUAGUCCACGCCCUAAACGUUGGGCACUAGGUGUUGCGGGUAUUGACCCCUGCAGUGCCGAAGCUAACGCAUUAAGUGCCCCGCCUGGGGAGUACGGCCGCAAGGCUAAAACUCAAAGGA